CCAGGCCCCACAAUGCACUGCUGGGCGCGUCACUCGGAGCGGCGGGUCCCGUCUCGACAGGUCUUCUCUGUUGAUUGAAAUGUCUAUGAUUUUAUCUGCCUCAGUCAUUCGUGUCAGAGAUGGACUGCCACUUUCUGCUUCUACUGAUUAUGAACAAAGCACAGGAAUGCAGGAGUGCAGAAAGUAUUUUAAAAUGCUUUCGAGGAAACUUGCUCAACUUCCUGAUAGAUGUACACUGAAAACUGGACAUUAUAACAUUAAUUUUAUUAGCUCUCUGGGAGUGAGCUACAUGAUGUUGUGCACUGAAAAUUACCCAAAUGUUCUCGCCUUCUCUUUCCUGGAUGAGCUUCAGAAGGAGUUCAUUACUACUUAUAACAUGAUGAAGACAAAUACUGCUGUCAGACCAUACUGUUUCAUUGAAUUUGAUAACUUCAUUCAGAGGACCAAGCAGCGAUAUAAUAAUCCCAGGUCUCUUUCAACAAAGAUAAAUCUUUCUGACAUGCAGACGGAAAUCAAGCUGAGGCCUCCUUAUCAAAUUUCCAUGUGCGAACUGGGGUCAGCCAAUGGAGUCACAUCAGCAUUUUCUGUUGACUGUAAAGGUGCUGGUAAGAUUUCUUCUGGAACUUUUGCAGAGUCUCCAUAAACCACUGGUACAUUUUCAGAAACAUUUAAUUUUGUUACCAACAUGCCAUCCUUGGGUUCAAGAAGACUAAAGAAAAGACUUUGUAGCAGAAGGCAAUAAUAACAAAAGCAAAACAA
rnacentral:sRNA from 1 species